GAUGAACGCUAGCGGCAGGCUUAAUACAUGCAAGUCGAGGGGCGAGCAUGACUGUAGCAAUACAGUUGAUGGCGACCGGCAAACGGGUGCGGAACACGUACAGAACCUUCCUUCGAGCGGGGAAUAGCCCAGAGAAAUUUGGAUUAAUACCCCAUAGUAUAUUAGAGUGGCAUCACUUUGAUAUUAAAGAUUUAUCACUUGAAGAUGGCUGUGCGGCUGAUUAGGUAGUUGGCGGGGUAACGGCCCACCAAGCCUUCGAUCAGUAACUGGUGUGAGAGCACGACCAGUCACACGGGCACUGAGACACGGGCCCGACUCCUACGGGAGGCAGCAGUAAGGAAUAUUGGUCAAUGGACGAAAGUCUGAACCAGCCAUGCCGCGUGGAGGAUGAAGGUCCUCUGGAUUGUAAAACUUCUUUUAUAUGGGGACGAAAAAAAGGGUUUUUCUAACUCGUCUGACGGUACCAUAUGAAAUAAGCACCGGCUAAACUCCGUGCCAAGC
rnacentral:rRNA from 1 species